ensembl:rRNA 5S_rRNA 5S ribosomal RNA
GUUUAUGGCCAUACCACACUGAACAUACCAGAUCCUGUCUGAUCUUUGAAGCUAAGCAGGGUUAGUCCUGGUUAGUACUUGGAGGACAGAAAAAGUGAGCAAGUGUUUUAGGUA